GCUGCACCCAAUAAAGAAGUUGUAGUCCGUGUUACGGGCAAGGAUCCAUGCUAUGGUAUUACCAGUUGCGUUUUGUUGUUAUGUGCCAAAACCAUUUUGAAGGAACACAACAAAAUGCCCGGAAAGGGCGGAGUUCUGCCACCAGGAUUUGCAUUUGCCAAGACAAGUCUUCUGGAAGAAGUUGGUAAACAUAAAUCGGGUUUGAAAUUUGAAGUAAU